UGAGCAAUCUGCCCUUCUCAUCGGAAUAAGCGUUGGAAACGACGUCUAAUGCCGAAUACGACCUCCUUUCGCAUGAUCGGAGGUGGAAAGCUCCGGCGGAGAAGGAUGAGCUCGCGGCCUAUCAGCUAGUUGGUGUGGGUAAUGGCCCACCAAGGCGACGACGGGUAGCCGGCCUGGAGAGGGUGACCGGCCACACGUGGGACUGAGAUACCGGCCCAGACCUCCGUACGGGAGCAG
rnacentral:rRNA from 1 species